UUUAAAUUUAGAGUUUGAUCCUGGCUCAGGACGAACGCUGGCGGCGUGCUUAACACAUGCAAGUCGAGCGAUGAAGCUUCCUUCGGGAAGUGGAUUAGCGGCGGACGGGUGAGUAACACGUGGGUAACCUGCCUCAAAGUGGGGGAUAGCCUUCCGAAAGGAAGAUUAAUACCGCAUAAUAUAAGAGAAUCGCAUGAUUUUCUUAUCAAAGAUUUAUUGCUUUGAGAUGGACCCGCGGCGCAUUAGCUAGUUGGUAAGGUAACGGCUUACCAAGGCAACGAUGCGUAGCCGACCUGAGAGGGUGAUCGGCCACAUUGGAACUGAGACACGGUCCAGACUCCUACGGGAGGCAGCAGUGGGGAAUAUUGCGCAAUGGGGGAAACCCUGACGCAGCAACGCCGCGUGGGUGAUGAAGGUCUUCGGAUUGUAAAGCCCUGUUUUCUAGGACGAUAAUGACGGUACUAGAGGAGGAAGCCACGGCUAACUACGUGCCAGCAGCCGCGGUAAUACGUAGGUGGCGAGCGUUGUCCGGAUUUACUGGGCGUAAAGGGUGCGUAGGCGGAUGUUUAAGUGGGAUGUGAAAUCCCCGGGCUUAACCUGGGGGCUGCAUUCCAAACUGGAUAUCUAGAGUGCAGGAGAGGAAAGCGGAAUUCCUAGUGUAGCGGUGAAAUGCGUAGAGAUUAGGAAGAACACCAGUGGCGAAGGCGGCUUUCUGGACUGUAACUGACGCUGAGGCACGAAAGCGUGGGUAGCAAACAGGAUUAGAUACCCUGGUAGUCCACGCCGUAAACGAUGGAUACUAGGUGUAGGGGGUAUCAACUCCCCCUGUGCCGCAGUUAACACAAUAAGUAUCCCGCCUGGGGAGUACGGUCGCAAGAUUAAAACUCAAAGGAAUUGACGGGGGCCCGCACAAGCAGCGGAGCAUGUGGUUUAAUUCGAAGCAACGCGAAGAACCU
rnacentral:rRNA from 1 species